rnacentral:rRNA from 1 species
CACGUAGGGGGCAAGCGUUGUUCGGAAUUACUGGGCGUAAAGGGCAUGUAGGCGGCCUUGUAAGCUUGGCGUGAAAUUCCACGGCUUAACCGUGGGAAUGCGUUGAGAACUGCGAGGCUUGAGUGACGGAGAGGGAGCUAGAAUUCCUGGUGUAGGGGUGGAAUCUGUAGAGAUCAGGAAGAAUACCAAUGGCGAAGGCAAGCUCCUGGCCGAUGACUGACGCUGAGGUGCGAAAGUGUGGGGAUCAAACAGGAUUAGAUACCCUGGUAGUCCACACUGUAAACGAUGUACACUAGGUGCUGGGGCGGAUGCUUCAGUGCCGUAGCUAACGUGAUAAGUGUACCGCCUGGGGAGUAUGCUCGCAAGGGUGAA